GAUGAACGCUGGCGGCGUGCUUAACACAUGCAAGUCGAACGGAAAGGCCAGUGCUUGCACUGGUGCUCGAGUGGCGAACGGGUGAGUAACACGUGGGUGAUCUGCCCUGCACUUUGGGAUAAGCCUGGGAAACUGGGUCUAAUACCAGAUAGGACCAUGCUUUGGAUGGUGUGGUGGAAAGUUUUUUCGGUGUGGGAUGAGCUUGCGGCCUAUCAGCUUGUUGGUGGGGUAAUGGCCUACCAAGGCGUCGACGGGUAGCCGGCCUGAGAGGGUGUACGGCCACAUUGGGACUGAGAUACGGCCCAGACUCCUACGGGAGGCAGCAGUGGGGAAUAUUGCACAAUGGGCGCAAGCCUGAUGCAGCGACGCCGCGGGGGGGAUGACGGCCUUCGGGUUGGAAACUCCUUUCGCAACUGACGAAGCUUUUUGUGACGGUAGGUUGAGGAGAAGCACCGGCUAACUACGUG
rnacentral:rRNA from 1 species